ACAUGCAGUCGAGCGGUAGCACAGAGAGCUUGCUCUCGGGUGACGAGCGGCGGACGGGUGAGUAAUGUCUGGGAAACUGCCUGAUGGAGGGGGAUAACUACUGGAAACGGUAGCUAAUACCGCAUAAUGUCGCAAGACCAAAGUGGGGGACCUUCGGGCCUCAUGCCAUCAGAUGUGCCCAGAUGGGAUUAGCUAGUAGGUGGGGUAACGGCUCACCUAGGCGACGAUCCCUAGCUGGUCUGAGAGGAUGACCAGCCACACUGGAACUGAGACACGGUCCAGACUCCUACGGGAGGCAGCAGUGGGGAAUAUUGCACAAUGGGCGCAAGCCUGAUGCAGCCAUGCCGCGUGUAUGAAGAAGGCCUUCGGGUUGUAAAGUACUUUCAGCGGGGAGGAAGGCGAUAAGGUUAAUAACCUUGUCGAUUGACGUUACCCGCAGAAGAAGCACCGGCUAACUCCGUGCCAGCAGCCGCGGUAAUACGGAGGGUGCAAGCGUUAAUCGGAAUUACUGGGCGUAAAGCGCACGCAGGCGGUCUGUCAAGUCGGAUGUGAAAUCCCCGGGCUCAACCUGGGAACUGCAUUCGAAACUGGCAGGCUAGAGUCUUGUAGAGGGGGGUAGAAUUCCAGGUGUAGCGGUGAAAUGCGUAGAGAUCUGGAGGAAUACCGGUGGCGAAGGCGGCCCCCUGGACAAAGACUGACGCUCAGGUGCGAAAGCGUGGGGAGCAAACAGGAUUAGAUACCCUGGUAGUCCACGCCGUAAACGAUGUCGAUUUGGAGGUUGUGCCCUUGAGGCGUGGCUUCCGGAGCUAACGCGUUAAAUCGACCGCCUGGGGAGUACGGCCGCAAGGUUAAAACUCAAAUGAAUUGACGGGGGCCCGCACAAGCGGUGGAGCAUGUGGUUUAAUUCGAUGCAACGCGAAGAACCUUACCUGGUCUUGACAUCCACAGAACUUAGCAGAGAUGCUUUGGUGCCUUCGGGAACUGUGAGACAGGUGCUGCAUGGCUGUCGUCAGCUCGUGUUGUGAAAUGUUGGGUUAAGUCCCGCAACGAGCGCAACCCUUAUCCUUUGUUGCCAGCGGUCCGGCCGGGAACUCAAAGGAGACUGCCAGUGAUAAACUGGAGGAAGGUGGGGAUGACGUCAAGUCAUCAUGGCCCUUACGACCAGGGCUACACACGUGCUACAAUGGCAUAUACAAAGAGAAGCGACCUCGCGAGAGCAAGCGGACCUCAUAAAGUAUGUCGUAGUCCGGAUUGGAGUCUGCAACUCGACUCCAUGAAGUCGGAAUCGCUAGUAAUCGUAGAUCAGAAUGCUACGGUGAAUACGUUCCCGGGCCUUGUACACACCGCCCGUCACACCAUGGGAGUGGGUUGCAAAAGAAGUAGGUAGCUUAACCUUCGGGAGGGCG
rnacentral:rRNA from 1 species